CUACUUACCUGAACGGAUUCUUGAGUGAUCACAUAGACUCAUGGCCUAGGUUGUUGACCUCCAUUGCACAUUGUGGAGGGGCAGCUGCCUAAGAUCUCCUCAAGAGGGAGAGUCUACGUCAUAAUUUGUGUUAGUGGGGCUUGCGUACGCACAGCCCUU